rnacentral:rRNA from 1 species
UGGGGAAUCUUGGACAAUGGGCGCAAGCCUGAUCCAGCCAUGCCGCGUGGGUGAAGAAGGCCCUAGGGUUGUAAAGCCCUUUCAUCGGUGAAGAUAAUGACGGUAGCCGAGGAAGAAGCCCCGGCUAACUCCGUGCCAGCAGCCGCGGUAAUACGGAGGGGGCUAGCGUUGUUCGGAAUUACUGGGCGUAAAGCGCGCGUAGGCGGACGGUUAAGUCGGGGGUGAAAGCCCAGAGCUCAACUCUGGAACUGCCUUCGAUACUGGCUGUCUUGAGUCCGGGAGAGGUGAGCGGAAUUCCGAGUGUAGAGGUGAAAUUCGUAGAUAUUCGGAAGAACACCAGUGGCGAAGGCGGCUCACUGGCCCGGUACUGACGCUGAGGUGCGAAAGCGUGGGGAGCAAACAGGAUUAGAUACCCCCGUAGUCC